UCCCAGCAGUCCGAAUUGCAGCUUAUUAUUGGGUCUAAAACAUCCGUAGCUUGUCUGUUAAGUUUCCUGUGAAAUCCCACCUCUCAAGGAUGGGGCGUGCAGGGAGUACUGGCAGACUAGGGACCGGCAGGUGUAAGAAGUACAUUCGAGGUAGUGGUAAAAUACGUUAAUCUCGAGUGGACUAACAAUUUAGCGAAGGCAUCUUACAAGGACGGAUCCGACAGUGAGGGAUGAAGGCUAGGGGCGCAAAAUGGAUUAGAUACCCAUGUAGUCCUAGCAGUAAACCCUGCUCACUAAACAUCGGUGCCUCUUCGGGAGGCGUCGGUGCUGAAGCGAAGGCGAAGAGCGAGCUACCUGGGAAGUAUAGUCGCAAGAUCGAAACUUAAAGGAAUUGGCGGGGAGACACUACAACGAGUGACGCGUACGGUUCAAUCAGAUUCUACACCGUGAACCUCACCAGGAGCGACAGCAGAAUGAAGGUCAGUCUGAAGGGCUUACCUGACACGCUGAGCGGAAUUACAUAGUCGUCGUCAGCCUGUGUCGUGAGAUGACCAGUUAAAUCUGGUAACAGGCGAGACCCGUGUGCAUAAUUACUACCGAAAGGAGAACAUUAUGCAGACUGCCUAGGUAACUAGGAGGAAGGCGCGGGCUACGAUAGGUGGCAUGAUCCUAAUCCCCUGGGCUACACGCGCGCGGCAAUGACGGACUCAAUGAGAUGCAACACCGAAAGGUGAAGCUAACCCCAUAAUGUCCGCCCCAGUACUGAUUGAGGGCUGCAACCCGCCCUCAUGACGCCGGAAUUCGUAGUAAUCGUUUAUUAGCAAUGAACGGUGAAUAUGUCCCUGUCUCU
rnacentral:rRNA from 1 species